UGGGAACGCGCCGCUGUUUGGCCCCACUC
rnacentral:piRNA from 1 species